AGGGUUUGAUUAUGGCUCAGGAUGAACGCUGGCGGCGUGCCUAACACAUGCAAGUCGAGCGAUUCUCUUCGGAGAAGAGCGGCGGACGGGUGAGUAACGCGUGGGUAACCUGCCCUGUACACACGGAUAACAUACCGAAAGGUAUGCUAAUACGAGAUAAUAUGCUUUUAUCGCAUGGUAGAAGUAUCAAAGCUUUUGCGGUACAGGAUGGACCCGCGUCUGAUUAGCUAGUUGGUAAGGUAACGGCUUACCAAGGCGACGAUCAGUAGCCGACCUGAGAGGGUGAUCGGCCACAUUGGAACUGAGACACGGUCCAA
rnacentral:rRNA from 1 species